rnacentral:rRNA from 1 species
CUCGUAGGCGGUUCGUCGCGUCCGGUGUGAAAGUCCAUCACUUAACGGUGGAUCCGCGCCGGGUACGGGCGGGCUUGAGUGCGGUAGGGGAGACUGGAAUUCCCGGUGUAACGGUGGAAUGUGUAGAUAUCGGGAAGAACACCAAAUGGCGAAGGCAGGUCUCUGGGCCGUUACUGACGCUGAGGAGCGAAAGCGUGGGGAGCGAACAG